rnacentral:rRNA from 1 species
UAGUCCACGCCGUAAACGAUGGAUACUAGGUGUCCGGGAUAUUAACCUCCUGGGUACUACAGUUAACGCGUUAAGUAUCCCGCCUGGGGAGUACGGUCGCAAGGCUAAAACUCAAAGGAAUUGACGGGGGCCCGCACAAGCGGUGGAGUAUGUGGUUUAAUUCGAAGCAACGCGCAGAACCUUACCUACCCUUAACAUUUCACGACGUAUACAGAGAUGUAUAUUUCUCUUCGGAGACGUGAGGAUAGGUGCUGCAUGGCUGUCGUCAGCUCGUGUCGUAAGAUGUCUGGUUAAGUCCAAUAACGAGCGCAACCCUUAUCUUUAGUUGCCAGCACAUAAUGGUGGGGACUCUAAAGAGACUGCCUGCGCAAGCAGAGAGGAAGGAGGGGACGACGUCAAGUCAUCAUGGCCCUUACGCCCAGGGCUACACACGUGCUACAAUGGCGCAUACAGAGGGUCGCGACAUGGCAACAUGAAGCCAAUCUCAAAAAGUGCGUCUCAGUUCGG